rnacentral:rRNA from 1 species
UACAUGGGGUGCAAACGUUGCUCGGAAUGAUUGGGCGUAAAGCGUCUGUAGGUGGCUUUUUAAGUCCGCCGUCAAAUCCCAGGGCUCAACUCUGGACAGGCGGUGGAAACUACCAAGCUGGAGUACGGUAGGGGCAGAGGGAAUUUCCGGUGGAGCGGUGAAAUGCGUAGAGAUCGGAAAGAACACCAACGGCGAAAGCAACUCUGCUGGGCCGACACUGACACUGAGAGACGAAAGCUAGGGGAGCGAAUGGG